rnacentral:lncRNA from 1 species
UUCAAUUCGGACCAGGGAAGUAACUCCAUCAAUUGUUCCGACUAUGGCUGGGGAGAACAGGGUGCCAGAACUCCUGAAAUAUCAUCCAUUCUUGAAGCUUCUGUAGUGGGUGAAGAGUUUCUUGAGGAUGCUAACCCUAGCAAGAAGCUGAAACCAAGUUCUGACAAUGUUAUGCAUGCUGAAGAGAACUCCGCAAAGACCUUGUCGGACGAGCUGUUGGCUUUGGACAACCAGAUGAAAUACUUCCAAAUGCCACCAUUUAUUGAAGGAAACUGGGAC